rnacentral:lncRNA from 1 species
AUGCAAAAUACUUCCAAAGGUACAAAUUUGAAAACUCAGAAUCCUGAAACCCAAUCACUCAUCUUUCUCAUUCCUAAAAUUUUUACCUUAGCAGUGGUUACCUGAUAGUUUAGAACACUUUAGAUUUGGGAGGAGGGAAAAAAAAAAAAAGGCUCUUAUUUUGGGGUUUUGAUGUCCCAGUGGAUCUGCGUCUAUUUCUUUUCCGUGUAUAUUUCUUCUUCUCUAUAAAUACAUUUAAAUAGACUAAACACCUCCUUUGGCAGUUACUUCAUCAAAACAUGGAAAACAUGCUAUGGCUGAGCAUGGAUUUAUUUAGAGACUUGCAAACAGUGUUCCGGAAGCCCUGUGCGGUUGGGAUGGGCUGGGUUUUCUCAGCCUUCAGACGGGCGGGAGUUCCUGUCACUGGAUUCACAGUUCACAGCUGUACACGCUCCUGGUUAUCAAGGGGGUGACCUAGGUGCUGGCUGCAGAGAAUAAGACACUGAACCUGCUGGACACACACACACACACACACACACCCCUGAUGCCGUCACACACACACACACACACACACACACCCUGAGGACGUCACACACACACACACACACACACACACACACCCUGAGGACAGUCCUUGAGAUGCCCCAUCCCAUUUGUUCUUACUCAUGCCAACCCUAGGCUUGGGCUAACUAGUUAUUUUCCUACACUCUAGCAAGUAGCACUGAGAACCAUAGAGCCUUUCUGAAAUAAUUUGAACAGGAUUGUUUCUCGUGGUCUUCUCGGCAGUGGAUGAUGGCCUUUAGUGCCUCGGCUCUGCAUUUCCAACCCUCCAUCUUCUCGAACCUGAUGAGAUUCUGUAUGUCUGGUCGGAAGCAGGUGGAGUGGCGUCUGGUCCCUGCAGAGUUGCUGAGAGGGGCAGGACAUGAGCUGGGGGUCCCUUAAAAGAUUAAGGGAGCUGCCCUUAACCAUUUGACCUCCAGGCCAUGUGACUGAGAGCCACCUUCUGUUGUCGGUCUCUCUUUUUUUUUUUUUCUUUUUAGGGCCGCACCCUCGGCAUGUGGAGGUUCCCAGGCUAGGGGUCCAAUCGGUGCUAUAACCACCAGCCUGCGCCAGAGCCACAGCAGCGCCAGAUCUGAGCCACGUCUGCGAACUACACCACAGCUCAUGGCAAUGCCGGAUCCUUAACCCACUGAUCGAAGCCAGGGAUUGAACCUGCAACCUCAUGGUUCCUAGUCAGAUUCGUUUCCCCUGCGCCUCAAUGGGAACUCCUUUUUUUUUUUCUUUUUUCUAAAUCGAGCUGUACCCACAGCAUAUCAAAAUUCCCAGGCUAUGGCUGAACUGGAGCUGCAGCUGUCAGCCUACACCACAGCCAUAGCAAUGCUGGAUCCAAACCGAGUCUUUGAACUACACUGCAACUCCUGGCAACACUGGAUCCUUAACCUGCUCAAAGAGGCCAGGGAUCGAACCUGCAUCCUCAUGGAUACUAGUCAGGUUCAUAACCUGCUGAACCACAGUGG